CGUAGGGGGCAAGCGUUGUCCGGAUUUAUUGGGCGUAAAGCGCGUGUAGGCGGCUUGGCAAGUCCGCUGUGAAAACUCGAGGCUCAACCUCGAGAUGUCGGUGGAAACUGCUUGGCUAGAGUCCGGAAGAGGAGUGUGGAAUUCCUGGUGUAGCGGUGAAAUGCGCAGAUAUCAGGAAGAACACCUAUGGCGAAGGCAGCACUCUGGGACGGUACUGACGCUGAGACGCGAAAGCGUGGGGAGCGAACAGGAUUAGAUACCCUGGUAGUCCACGCCGUAAACGAUGGAUGCUAGGUGUGGGCGGUGUUGACUCCGUCCGUGCCGAAGCUAACGCAUUAAGCAUCCCGCCUGGGGAGUACGGCCGCAAGGCUA
rnacentral:rRNA from 1 species